ACAGAGGGUGCGAGCGUUAAUCGGAUUUACUGGGCGUAAAGCGUGCGUAGGCGGCUUUUUAAGUCGGAUGUGAAAUCCCCGAGCUUAACUUGGGAAUUGCAUUCGAUACUGGGAAGCUAGAGUAUGGGAGAGGAUGGUAGAAUUCCAGGUGUAGCGGUGAAAUGCGUAGAGAUCUGGAGGAAUACCGAUGGCGAAGGCAGCCAUCUGGCCUAAUACUGACGCUGAGGUACGAAAGCAUGGGGAGCAAACAGGAUUA
rnacentral:rRNA from 1 species